AGAGUUUGAUCCUGGCUCAGGAUGAACGCUAGCUACAGGCUUAACACAUGCAAGUCGCGGGGCAGCAGGUACAGAAGCUUGCUUCAGUACGCUGGCGACCGGCGCACGGGUGAGUAACGCGUAUCCAACCUGGCCCAUACCACGGGACAGCCCGUCGAAAGGCGGAUUAAUACCGUAUGCAGUCAUUAGGGAGCAUUUUUUGAUGACGAAAGGAUUUGGCGGUAUGGGAUGGGGAUGCGUCUGAUUAGCUUGUUGGCGGGGUAACGGCCCACCAAGGCGACGAUCAGUAGGGGUUCUGAGAGGAAGGUCCCCCACAUUGGAACUGAGACACGGUCCAAACUCCUACGGGAGGCAGCAGUGAGGAAUAUUGGUCAAUGGGCGAGAGCCUGAACCAGCCAAGUAGCGUGAGGGACGACUGCCCUAUGGGUUGUAAACCUCUUUUGUUUGGGAAUAAAGUGCGCCACGUGUGGCGCAUUGCAUGUACCAUUUGAAUAAGGACCGGCUAAUUCCGUGCCAGCAGCCGCGGUAAUACGGAAGGUCCGGGCGUUAUCCGGAUUUAUUGGGUUUAAAGGGAGCGUAGGCCGGAGAUUAAGCGUGUUGUGAAAUGUAGACGCUCAACGUCUGCACUGCAGCGCGAACUGGUUUCCUUGAGUACGCACAAAGUGGGCGGAAUUCGUGGUGUAGCGGUGAAAUGCUUAGAUAUCACGAAGAACUCCGAUUGCGAAGGCAGCUCACUGGAGCGCAACUGACGCUGAAGCUCGAAAGCGCGGGUAUCGAACAGGAUUAGAUACCCUGGUAGUCCGCGCGGUAAACGAUGGAUGCCCGCUGUUCGCCUUUGUGGUGAGCGGCCAAGCGAAAGCGUUAAGCAUCCCACCUGGGGAGUACGCCGGCAACGGUGAAACUCAAAGGAAUUGACGGGGGCCCGCACAAGCGGAGGAACAUGUGGUUUAAUUCGAUGAUACGCGAGGAACCUUACCCGGGCUUGAAUUGCAGAGGAAGGAUUUGGAGACAAUGACGCCCUUCGGGGCCUCUGUGAAGGUGCUGCAUGGUUGUCGUCAGCUCGUGCCGUGAGGUGUCGGCUUAAGUGCCAUAACGAGCGCAACCCCUCUCCGUAGUUGCCAUCGGUUGAAGCCGGGCACUCUGCGGACACUGCCACCGUAAGGUGCGAGGAAGGUGGGGAUGACGUCAAAUCAGCACGGCCCUUACGUCCGGGGCUACACA
rnacentral:rRNA from 1 species